ACGGGUGAGUAAUGUAUAGCUAAUCUGCCCUACACUAGAGGACAACAGUUGGAAACGACUGCUAAUACUCUAUACUCCUGUCUUACAUAAGUUAGAUAGGGAAAGUUUUUCGGGGUAUGAUGAGGCUAUAUUGUAUCAGCUAGUUGGUGAGGUAAUGGCUCACCAAGGCUAUGACGCAUAACUGGUCUGAGAGGAUGAUCAGUCACACUGGAACUGAUACACGGUCCAGACUCCUACGGGAGGCAGCAGUAGGGAAUAUUGCUCAAUGGGGGAAACCCUGAAACACCAACGCCGCGUGGAGGAUGACACUUUUCGGAGCGUAAACUCCUUUUGUUAGGGAAGAACAAUGACGGUACCUAACGAAUAAGCACCGGCUAACUCCGUGCCAGCAGCCGCGGUAAUACGGAGGGUGCAAGCGUUACUCGGAAUCACUGGGCGUAAAGGACGCGUACGCGGAUUAUCAAGUCUCUUGUGAAAUCCUAUGGCUUAACCAUAGAACUGCUUGGGAAACUGGUAAUCUACAGUGAGGGAGAGGCAGAUGGAAUUGGUGGUGUAGGGGUAAAAUCCGUAGAGAUCACCAGGAAUACCCAUUGCCAAGGCGAUCUGCUGGAACUCAGCUGACGCUAAUGCCUGAAAGCGUGGCGAGUAAACAGGAUGCUAUACCCUGUGAGUCCCGACCUGAAC
rnacentral:rRNA from 1 species